GGAUGAUAUUAGUGAUAUUGAUGGCGAAGAAGAAGUUGAAAUUAUGGAUUUUUAGGAAAUGUGAAUUUGCCUUGAAGGAGUUUGUUGUUCUUUUAUUUCAAUUUUUAGAGUUUUAUUUAGAUGGUUUAAAAUAUUAAUUCAUAUUUGUGUCUUUAUUAUCAUGAUGAACAUGAUUACUGGUUUAAAAUUUGAAUAUUUAUGUUGAAA